rnacentral:lncRNA from 7 species
CUCCCAGUGAAAACUGUUUGUGUCCUCAAGCUCAAGCAUACCACCAUCGCCAGUCUCAGCCCAACGCUCUGCCUCAACAACUCACCUUGCCGUUUACCUUUUUGUUCUUUGGUCGUCGUCCAUAGAAAAGAAUCCCCAUCGUCAGGUCAUUUAUCCACUCCAAGCCAGCGUCCAUGAUAGGGUGAGGCAGGUAUGGUCUUU